rnacentral:lncRNA from 1 species
GGCCGCCGAGGUGGGAGCCGGGUGCCGGGGCCGCUUCGCUGUCCGCCGGCUGCAGGUAUCAGGAAUUGAUCCCCCGCCGCCGCCGCCUCCUCCUCCUCCUCCUCCACCGGCUCCGGCUCCUUCUCCGCCGGCUCCUCCGCUUCUUUGUUUCGGUGCCGCCGGGAGCACGGAGGAGCAGCAGCAGCAGCAGCAGCGGGGGCAUGGAGCCACCCGGCCCCCGCCCCAAGGUGACAGAGCCGGCAGCGGGUCGGGAAUGGAGAUAAAUAUGGGGGGUGGGUAAGGGGGGGGGGCGGCUCCGUGCCCCGCCCCGGCGGGCGGCAAGUUGGGAGGGCGGCGGCUGAACUUCGGGGACAGACGGACAGACAGACGGACAGACAGGACGGACACCCCCCCCCCAAAAAAAAAAACCCCUCCAGGCAGCCCCGCUGCCAAGUUUUCACCCCCCCCCCCCCCCUACGACCUCGGAGCCGCAGGUGCCCGGUGGAAGCGAAGCAGGGAACGAGGGGGGGGCUCGGAGGUGUUUUUUUUUUUGGGGGGGGGGGGCUCGGUUCGCGAUCGUAGCACAGGGGAAAGAGGAGGAGGAGGAGGAGGAGGAGGAAGAGAGGAGGUGGAGACGUGCCCGGGGCCGGCCGGAGCCCCCCCCCUGCGCUCCUAUUGUUAUUGGGGGCUGGAGGAGGCAGCGUGAGGAAUCGGGGGCUGCUCCCGGGGGCUUUUUUUACCCCCCCCCAUCCCCGUCCCCUCCCCCGUGUCCCGGUUUCUCUCGGGAGCGAUGCCAGGCUCCGAGGUCCGGGGCUGGGGGGGGGCGAUGUGAUGCGGCCCCGGGAUGGAUCCGGUUAUCUCGGAGAGCUCCUUUGUGGUUCCGUGCAGGUCACGGUUGCUGCUAUCCAGCUGUAGGCUGCCAGAGGGGCCGGGAAAUUGACGAUUAGCUCUGGCUACAUGGCUCCGGCGUUGGCUUCGUCAAAGGAAACGCUGCUCGCUUUAUUCCCUGCAAUGCACCCGCUCGCUGCGUGCCCGCGUGGAGGAGCAGACUUGGCGGGGACUUGGGCAGAAACUUCGGCGCUGCCCCUGCCGGAUCGCGGCGCGCCGGCAGCCUCGCGCGCCCGCUGCGGUGGCUGGCGUCUUCUCCAAGUUUAGGGGGAGGAAAGGGAAAGAAAAAAAAAAAAAAAAGAUGUGGAUGUGAUUAAAAUAUUAUAACCUUAUGAUAUUCUGAAGUGCAUAAAUUUUACAUAUCAGCUACAGAGGGAGUUUAGACAUCCAUUAAAUGAUAUGACAGCUUGACUUAUCUAAAUGUGCUAUCAUUUAACAAUGUGUCAAAAUUCUUCUUUAUAUAGAUGACAGCAGUAAAUAAGCUAUCAGUCCUCUUGGCUGAAGCUUAAUUCCUGAAGCUUGGACUGAUAAACUUGGCGGUGCUGCUUUGGGCUCCGAGCAGGGGAGCUUCACUUCCUCGCCCCCCCCCCCCCAGUCCUGCGUGGUUUUGGGGCUAUAAAGGAGGGAGCUGUGAGAUCUCCCUGGGUUCCUCCAGCCUCUCCAGAGCCCUGCCAGCAGCCCCAGGCUCUCUGUGCUGCCGAAACUGGUUUCAGUUUGUGCUCGUAGCCCGUCAGAGGCCCA